UCUACGGGGGCAGCAGUGGGGAAUAUUGGACAAUGGGCGAAAGCCUGAUCCAGCCAUGCCGCGUGUGUGAAGAAGGCCUUCGGGUUGUAAAGCACUUUCAGUGGGGAAGAAAGCCUUGGGGCUAAUACCCUCGAGGAAGGACAUCACCCACAGAAGAAGCACCGGCUAACUCCGUGCCAGCAGCCGCGGUAAUACGGAGGGUGCGAGCGUUAAUCGGAAUUACUGGGCGUAAAGCGCGCGUAGGCGGUCUGAUAAGCCGGUUGUGAAAGCCCCGGGCUCAACCUGGGAACGGCAUCCGGAACUGUCAGGCUAGAGUGCAGGAGAGGAAGGUAGAAUUCCCGGUGUAGCGGUGAAAUGCGUAGAGAUCGGGAGGAAUACCAGUGGCGAAGGCGGCCUUCUGGACUGACACUGACGCUGAGGUGCGAAAGCGUGGGUAGCAAACAGGAUUAGAUACCCCGGUAGUC
rnacentral:rRNA from 1 species